GCGGUCAAUCACCGAUUUACAAUAUUCAUGACCACCGCGAAAGACUUAUCACAAUGGAUCAAUCGAAAUCAUUAGGAAUCAUCAAAAAUUAAUGGGGAUUUUUUAUUUACUCUUUCGAAAUCUCCGAUGCUGGGCUCAUACGGUUGGCUGUGCUUAAGAUUUUUAUGAUUUCAAAGCGUUUAGUCGCUGACCGAGGCCUACAUGGCUGUAUUGUAACUGCAUCUCCAACAUUACAAUUUAAAUCAUCUUGAACCAUAUAGUUUUGAUAUUGGGUGACAUACUUUUUCACCACUGGAUGGAACUUUUCUUUUGCAACCCGCACUUUCGCUGUUUUUGGCAUUGCACGAGAAAUCACGAUUCCCACAUAAUUUAGCUUCAUUCUUCAGAGUAAUUUUAGGAUUAAACAAGAAAAGUAAGUAAGUCUAAUCCUUUAAAUACCCACAAUAACUAAGUUAUCAAUGCGCACCGUUUUAGCAGUAGAGAGUUUUGACAUUGCCCUAUUUACAAAUGUGCAAUGAAGCGGCGUCUUUUCCCUUAUAAUUAUUUAACAUAAAUAAGCUUUCCUUAAGUCAAUUAAUGAUAAUAUAUAAAUGUG